CCUACGGGAGGCAGCAGUGAGGAAUAUUGGUCAAUGGACGAGAGUCUGAACCAGCCAAGUAGCGUGAAUGAUGACUGCCCUCUGGGUUGUAAACUUCUUUUAUAUGGGAAUAAAAUGUUCCACGUGUGGGAUUUUGUAUGUACCAUAUGAAUAAGGAUCGGCUAACUCCGUGCCAGCAGCCGCGGUGAUACGGAGGGUCCGAGCGUUAUCCGGAGUUAUUGGGUUUAAAGGGAGCGGAGGGGGAUUGUUAAGUCAGGUGUGAAAGUUUGGGGCUCAACCGUAGAAUUGCAGUUGAAACUGGCAGGCUUGAGUACAGGAGAGGUAGGCGGAAUUCGUGGUGUAGCGGUGAAAUGCGUAGAUAUCACGAAGAACUCCGAUUGCGAAGGCAGCUUACUGGACCGCAACUGACACUGAGGCUCGAAAGUGUGGGUAUCAAACAGGAUUAGAUACCCUAGUAGUC
rnacentral:rRNA from 1 species